AUGCAACAUGAGUCUCAAUGGAAGCAGAGAGGAGAGGGAUACAGGGUUGCGUUUAAGUGGACGAAUGAAGCAAUCGAAUGCAAAGGAAUUUCUUUCUCAACCUGGACCUUUUUAACAAUGUACACUUGGCGGUGCUUCCUCGCCAUUGUAUUUGUACUUGUCUGUUACUUCUCAGAGUUUGGACAAAUAUGGACACAAGCCUUCGUUUGUUUUUUAUGCUUUUUCAAUUUACCUUUCAAAAAGCAAAACCAUGAAACAAGCACUCAGACGGACGACACGCUUGAAGAAACAGAACAACAGACAAAGAAGGCUCACCAUGUUGGUGUCAGUGAUGAGACUGAUGCAGCCAGAACCGCACAAACUGAGUCUGAGACAAAGCAUUAUCCAAAUGUACAGAGGUCACUCCUCCAGGUGUUUAAAUGUGCCUAUGUUAACCUGGUCCAGCCGUGGUACACAGUCCCAGAACUGGGCGACAGUCAGCCCCUUCAUAGGGCACUACAGAUGGAGUUUAACCUGCUAGUCGAGAGAGUCAUUUGCAAGGCAAAAAGCUUUGAUCUGUCUGCCACCAGUGUGGGUUGUAUUAAGAUCUUCACUCAGCACCUGCAUAACGCAAAGCAGUCAGAUGGCUCUCCAAUGUUCGGUUCAAGGUCUGAGGAGAUGACAGUCCUCAGGGCCUUUUCUGAAGCUCUACUGCGAAACCUUUUUCCUGAGCACCUUUGGGAAGCAAAACUGUACCGGUGUGUCCUAACUGAGAUUGUUGCUAUUAAAGCUCUUGAUGUGCUCGUGAAAUGCCUCUGUAACCCAGACAUCUUGAAUCAGAUGGUGGUUUCGCAGCUGGAUAGAGUAACCUCUAAAAGCUCAACAGAAGACCUGCUAAACUCCGAUAGGGAAGGCACACCAUCUUCCACGGGAAGUGAAGAAGCAGAAGUAGUGACGGAUGAAACUGAUGCUCAGUAUGAAGACACAAAAGAAAAGAAGAAGGGCAAUAGGAUCAAAGAACAGUUUUCUAAAUUUGUUGAUAAGGUCAAGUCAAAAAAAGUCAAAAAGAAAUACCAGAAGAAGAAGAAGAAGGAGCAUGAUCUUUUACACAGGGCUUUAUCGUCACGAAGAUUUGCUGUUAUUGAAGAUGAUGCUGCAAACAGCAGAGAAAGCUCCUUUAGAAGCGGCAUGGACUCCGAUUAUGACAGUGAAUCGGAUGACCUAACAACAAAUGUCCGAGAAGAUAUGAUGGAGUUCAAGCUUUCUUAUGAGAUGUGGCGGGUGGGGAAGUGGGCAGUCCGUGUUACAAAUGUCCAAAAGGAAAAUGAAGAGCUUUGUUUCGUGCUUCACCUGGAGGAGAAAAAUAACCCAGAGAAUCUCAACUGGGAUGUAAAAAAGACCCAGUCAGAUAUACUUCAUUUUCACAGCCUCUGGCAGGAUACUUCCACUUUACCCUCUAUAUCUGCAAUAGUAGUAACAAAGCAGGGUCUUGAUGGUGCACAUGCAGAAGAAGUGGCAUCAGCCUUGGAGCACUUUUUACAAGAGGUGGUUUCUGAUGCACAGCUUGGUCACACUCAGCCUGUGUUCCAGUUCUUGUGUCCCAUUGUACAGCUGCUGAGUAAUAAGGACCAUAAGGGAGGUGUCUGGAGUUUCCUGAAUGGCCUUGCAAGCUUUCUUAAUCCUAGCCAAGAUGAGGAUGAGUCCCAUAAUCCCAGAGGAGAAGAAAAGGUUGAUGGAGCAGGAUCCUCAGGACAUAACAGUGGACAGUCGACAGGACAGCCAGCCUCCAUCAACACAGAUGAAGAACCAAAGGGGGGCAUUGUAGAAGGACCAGUGGCUACACGCGUUAGGUUUUAUAACCCCAGUGAAGAAACUGAAACCUUCAAAAGUACAGAACCAGAUAUAGAAGAUCAGACCUCUGAUGAACAGGACGUGGUUUCAGAUUUACAGGAGAGUCUUGCUGAAAGUUUAGAUAUCUUUGUUAAUAGGUCAAAAUUAGUCAGUCCUUCAGGACAAUUGAGUGAUAUCUCAAGCUCAGUCAUGAACCACACUGAAGGCUUGCAGUCUGACUCAGUAGAUGGCUUCGCAGGUGCUCAGUCUGGGGGCAAAACAAACAAAAAAGAAAAGAUAACUCAAAGAAAGUCAAAUGGAUUUCAAAAGGCCAAAAUAAAAGAGAAAAUGGGACAGCUCAAGGACGAGAUGGCAAAUCAGCCUCAGGCACAGAAAAAGGAACCCCAGAACAACUGGGACAAAGUUGAGGCCACCAAAGCCAUAUUUGAGCUAGUUAAGGAAAUAACUGGUAACUCAGUCUUCAUUAACAUUGUUGAUGCUAUUCUAAAAGCAGUCCAGCCUUUGUUAAAGAAGAAAAUAAACAACUUUUUAAAAAAGAUGCAUCCCACUGAAGCUCAGAUUGCAUCCUACAUUGACAGUUUCCGGGAGAAGAUAUGGCCAGGAGUAAACGCGCCCUUCCAGCCGCCGUGUGACAGUGAGGAGAAACAAAAGACCAGGGAGAAGGCUUUGCAGCUUAUAAAUUCUAAAUAUUCAAACUCUCUAAUUCUCAAGAAGACUGAUGUUGAAACUGUGUUCAAGAUCUUCCAGGACACUGAGGAGAACAAGAAAUUGGUUUAUAUGCUGCUGUCAUACAUUCUUGGGGAGUUCUUACCUGGAGAGCCUGCCUUCAGUGAAAUAGCUAAUUUAACUGUGAAGGAUUUAUUUUCAUAA
ensembl:lncRNA